AGUGAACGCUGGCGGUAGGCCUAACACAUGCCAGUCGAACGGCAGCACAGUAAGAGCUUGCUCUUACGGGUGGCGAGUGGCGGACGGGUGAGGAAUACAUCGGAAUCUACUUUUUCGUGGGGGAUAACGUAGGGAAACUUACGCUAAUACCGCAUACGACCUACGGGUGAAAGCAAGGGAUCUUCGGACCUUGCGCGAUUGAAUGAGCCGAUGUCGGAUUAGCUAGUUGGCGGGGUAAAGGCCCACCAAGGCGACGAUCCGUAGCUGGUCUGAGAGGAUGAUCAGCCACACUGGAACUGAGACACGGUCCAGACUCCUACGGGAGGCAGCAGUGGGGAAUAUUGGACAAUGGGCGCAAGCCUGAUCCAGCCAUACCGCGUGGGUGAAGAAGGCCUUCGGGUUGUAAAGCCCUUUUGUUGGGAAAGAAAUCCAGCCGGCUAAUACCUGGUUGGGAUGACGGUACCCAAAGAAUAAGCACCGGCUAACUUCGUG
rnacentral:rRNA from 1 species